CAGUAGCCGCGGUAAUACGAAGGGUGCAAGCGUUACUCGGAAAUACUGGGCGUAAAGCGCGCGUAGGUGGUGGUUUAAGUCCGUUGUGAAAGCCCUGGGCUCAACCUGGGAAUUGCAGUGGAUACUGGGUCACUAGAGUGUGGUAGAGGAUAGUGGAAUUUCCGGUGUAGCAGUGAAAUGCGUAGAGAUCGGAAGGAACGUCUGUGGCGAAGGCGACUAUCUGGGCCAACACUGACACUGAGGCACGAAAGCGUGGGGAGCAAACAGGAUUAGAUACCCAGUAGUCCCUGUCUCUUAUACC
rnacentral:rRNA from 1 species